GUUUCCGUAGUGUAGCGGUCAUCACGCGCGCGUAACACGUGCAAGGUCCCCAGUUCGAUCCUGGGCGGAAACA
rnacentral:tRNA from 1 species